rnacentral:rRNA from 1 species
CCUGAUUGAUUCUGUCAGCGCGAUAUGCUCAAGUAAAAGAUUAAGCCAUGCAUGCUUUGAUUCAUCAAUGAAAUUGCGUACGGCUCAUUAGAGCAGAUAUCACCUUGUUCGGAAUAUUAUAUGGAUAACUGCGGAAAUACUGGAGCUAAUACAUGUCAUACAUCCCCAACGUAAGGCGGGGUGCAAUUAUUAGAACAGACCAAACGUUUUCGGACGUUGUUUGUUGACUCUGAAUAAAGCAGUUUACUGUCAGUUUCGACUGACUCUAUCCGAAAAGGGUGUCUGCCCUUUCAACUAGAUGGUAGUUUAUUGGACUACCAUGGUUGUUACGGGUAACGGAGAAUAAGGGUUCGACUCCGGAGAGGGAGCCUUAGAAACGGCUACCACGUCCAAGGAAGGCAGCAGGCGCGAAACUUAUCCACUGUUGAGUAUGAGAUAGUGACUAAAAAUAUAAAGACUCAUCCUUUUGGAUGAGUUAUUUCAAUGAGUUGAAUACAAAUGAUUCUUCGAGUAGCAAGGAGAGGGCAAGUCUGGUGCCAGCAGCCGCGGUAAUUCCAGCUCUCCUAGUGUAUCUCGUUAUUGCUGCGGUUAAAAAGCUCGUAGUUGGAUCUAGGUUACGUGCUGCAGUUCGCAAUUUGCGUCAACUGUAGUCGUGACUUCUAAUUUGCUGGUUUGAGGUUGGGUUCGCCCUUCAACUGCCAGCAGGUUUACCUUGAAUAAAUCAGAGUGCUCAAAACAAGUGUUUGCUUGAAUAGCUCAUCAUGGAAUAAUGAAACAGGACUUCGGUUCUUUUUGUUGGUUCUAGAACUGAUUUAAUGGUUAAGAGGGACAAACCGGGGGCAUUCGUAUCAUUACGCGAGAGGUGAAAUUCGUGGACCGUAGUGAGACGCCCAACAGCGAAAGCAUUUGCCAAGAAUGUCUUCAUUAAUCAAGAACGAAAGUCAGAGGUUCGAAGGCGAUUAGAUACCGCCCUAGUUCUGACCGUAAACGAUGCCAUCUCGCGAUUCGGAGGGUUUUUGCCCUGCCGAGGAGCUAUCCGGAAACGAAAGUCUUUCGGUUCCGGGGGUAGUAUGGUUGCAAAGCUGAAACUUAAAGAAAUUGACGGAAGGGCACCACAAGGCGUGGAGCUUGCGGCUUAAUUUGACUCAACACGGGAAAACUCACCCGGUCCGGACACCAUUAGGACUGACAGAUUGAAA